AAAAGGAUGUCGACUUCCGUAAGCUUCUCUCUCUUUAUUUUUCUUCUGCCCCAUGUUUGUUCAAUGCACGUUAUUAUUCUGUUUGCUGGGAUUCUUGGUUUUGAUAAAACUAUUUUUUUUUCCUAAAGUAAUCAUGGAAAAAUAUUUGUGGGUUUUGCACUUUGGCUUUGGAAAUGAUGUUGGGAGUAUUUUUUUGUCGGUUUGAUUUUGUUUCAUUUGCACUUUGAAUAGAAGUGUUGAGUAGAAGUUGUUGGCUAACUGUUUAUGUUAUGAUUGUUCACAAGUUGCAUAUGAUUGAUCCAGUUUAUAUGGUCCUGAGCUCAAAAAGAGUCAAGGAAAGAAAAAGUUUACCGAUUUAGAAAUGAAGGCCAACCAUUCCAUGCUUUGCUUGUUUAUGGAAAGGAUUGGAUCAUGUUAAUGAGUUGGAUCAGGGUAUAAGGAUUGUUUUUAAUAAAAAUGAAAAUAACAUCUUUAUUAAACUGUGGCACUGCUUGGAAGCAUGAAAAUGCCAAGUAAUUAAUUUUAUUAUUGUUGUGUUCUUAAAGAUGAUGCACAGGGGCUUCCCCAUUUUUGUGUUUAGUGAUAUCAUUUAAAAUCCCAUGUCACUUUCAAUAAAAUGUUAUUACUCAGUGUAAGAGUCAUACCAUGAGCACGAAUUACUUUAGCAAUGCAGGGAGGAAAGAUGAUUUUUCUUUCCAGAAUUCCAUUGAAGUGUUUUGAGAAAUGAGUUUUCAAAUCAAACAGAAAACAUGGUGGCUUAUGAGUUUUGAGUUAUACUAUGCAUUAGAGUUGAGACCGAAUGAUCCAGUCAGUUAAAAGUUUGAUCUGAUAAGUGGAUACACCAAACAGUCUGAAUUCAUCAAAAUCAAGAAAAACUUAGGGCAAUUGCAUGAAAGAAAACUUUCCUUUCCCAAUGAUAUUUACUUCGGUGCCUUCCAGACCCUAAUGCCGCUGCUGUAUCUUGUUUACGAAUCCAUGAUCUGACUAUACUACUAUCAAUUUUGAUGAUUGGUUAUUUGGCUCCAGACUAUCAUGCAUAGCAUUUUUUUAGGCUUGCUUAUUUUUGGAUGUUUGAUUUCAUGAAAAUGAAAAAUUAAAAGUUUUUAACUGCAUUCUUGAUGAUGCCCUAUUGACCCUUCCCCCCUGACCCAACCACAAUAAUAUAAAUAUAUCUUGAGUGCUGAUCUACCUUUAUUAGUCACUCCGAGGAAGUUGUUCAAUGCUUGUUGUUCAAUUAACUUUGCAUGUUUGAUAAGAAUGACUUCAGAGGUUGACUUAGUAUAAGAAUUUUCUCACUCAUGGACUGUUGUAUGCAUCUUCAAUUAUAAUCAAUUCAUCGAUACUAAUUAUCUUUCUUUUUUUUUUUUGGUUGGUGGUGUGGAGGGAGGAGCAAUUAUAGCUUCGAGCUUUGACAGGAUUAUCAAUAUUAGUGAAGAUUUUAAUGAUCAACAAUACCACUUUUUUAGUGGACAGAAGUUUUACAAAUUUUCUUAGUGGAUGCAUUCUCGUCCUUUUCUUUUGCAAGUUUUGCCUCUUGAGGAAUUUAACAACUUAUCACACCGGUACCUGCUUUAACAAACGCCUUUUGUAUCCUGAAAUUAUGCUUGGGACUAAUUGUUUUGCUAGAGGUGGUGUAGGAGAUGGACUUAGGGUUUAGGGUUGCAUGCAAAAGCUAUGCUGCUGUCUUUACCUGUACUUGGAAGCCUGGAUUACUGUCAGGGAAGACAAAAUUCUGUGUUUCUCAUUUUUAAUUGCUGAUUCCAACUGUAAAUAUAAUUGCAGAAUUGAAAAUAAUUUUGCACCUUAUCAUGUCUUAUCUUCUUUGUUUCCUCUUUCUUUCAGAAAUUUCCGAAGGCUGAACCUAAAAGACAGAGAUUAUUUAUUCAUCGAUUCCUUCCCAUGAUUCUUUUACUGUCUGUAGCCUUCUUCAUAGGAAGUGCAUUUAUGGUCAAAGACUAUAAAAAGGUGUACAUGUCUAAGCCCUGUUUGCUCAAAGUUGAAAACUACUCAAACCUGAAAAAGCAGCGAAGGUUUCCUCUUGACUUCUCUGACAUCAGAAGUUACUUCUUUUCCUUUUUGUCAUCCGCAUUUAUUAUUUUCUUUUUAUAAUUCAUGCAUUCCAAAUACACCUAAGAAAGUUUUUAAUCCAAGUUAUUAACGUAAGGAAUCAAAAACUCCAUACCAACCCUUUCAUGCAUAUAAAACUGCAUUAUGUUUCCCAUAAUGAAGUAAAUAAUGUGUGAUUUGAGGCCUUCUCUGUGCAGAGAAUUUAAAGAUGGGGAUCAGUUAUGGUUUUGCAGUUUACAAGACCUAAGAUAUGUGAGGUUUGUUUGGUAUAUGUUAUGUAUGUUCUCCUUUUCUAGAAACACAAAAUUCUCCUAACUAUUUCUUUUUUCUUUAUCACUUGUGCUUAGACCCAGUGCAGGGCUUAUGGAAGUGAGGCAUUACCUAGAGGAAUUAUUUCUAAGACAUCUGACUUGGAAAUGCAGCCAUUAUGGGGCCCACAGAAUAAUCAGGUAAGCAGCUUUGUUGCUAAUAUCAAUGGCAUCAUUGAUCCUUUGUUGGUUCUGCAUUCCCCAAAUGACAGUGCAUUAAAAUUUUUCCAGUUGUUCAGUUUGUCUUCUAAAUCAUUAUGGCUGCACAAGUACUGUUCCUUUUGCAAGAUGGUAUUAACUAAUGAUCAUAUUCUUUCUCUUAUUUCAUGUUUAACUACAGUUUAGUCUGAUUAGUGGCUUUUGGAUUUGCAUUUGUUCCUUUCAGUUGAGCAUUUUGUAAGCUGAGAUGAUCUGCAUGUGUCAGUGUCAUCUCUGUUUUUAUCACCAUGUUAGCACAAUUAAACUACCCUAUCUGACUAAACUCUGACCUCCAUUAUUAUCUGCUUUGUGCAACUUCACCCCUGUUUGUUUCGUUUGAUCUGGAAUCUCUCAUGCAUUUUAAUUUUACAAGAGGUAACAGCUGCAAACUGUCAGAUCACUACCAAUGGUAAAAAAAGAUGAGGAUACUAAUUGGACUUGGUUUUCUGGUCAAACUGUGAUAAGCUCAUAGACUCUUUAGUGCUAUCUGGCUAAUAUAUAUUCUUGCACACUUGUGGCUAACCCUGUGUUUUUAUUUACCUUUUUCUUUUUCAAAUAUGUGUCUUUAUGGUUGUUAAAUUUGACCACAAAUGCAGUUUCUAUGGCAGUAUAAAGUAAUGAGGAAAAACAUAUUCCCCUUUCUUUCUCAGUUUGCAUCCUGUAUCAGAACACUGCUGUUCAGUGGUAUGAUUUGUAUUUUGUUACCUUCAACAUGUUGAGUUGAUUUGAUAAUCGAGAUUUGGCAUAUAGCUAUUUCUUUAAUCUCUUAUCUUCUACUUUUGUUUAGAAGCCAAAGUUGUCAAUGAACUUGUUAGCCAUUGCAGUUGGAAUAAAGCAAAAAGAAAGUGUCAACAAAAUCAUCAAUAAGGUGAAAGGACCAGACUUUAUGUUUUAUGUUAUUAUUUGAGAUUUAUGUUAAAUAUCAUUCUUUUGUUGCAUUAUUUGAGUUAGAUUUGUAUCGUACAUCUCUUUUUCCCUCCUUUUAUUCCAUGUCACAGUUUCCAGAUAGUGAUUUUGUCAAGAUGCUUUUCCAUUACAAUGGCAUUGUGGACCAGUGGAAGGACUUAGAGUGGAAUGACUGUGCUAUACAUGUGUCUGCUGUCAAUCAAACCAAGUGCUCAUACAUGCAGAUAUCGUUUCAGAGUAUUCCUACAUCUUCCUGUGGGAUGAAGACCUUGAAAUUGACCGCUUUAAUGCUAAAAGAUAUCUUGCAAUAAUUAAAAAGGAAGGGCUUGAAAUAUCACAGCCGGCACUUGGUCGUGAGAAGUCAGGGCUACAUCAUCCGAUCACAGAUGGGGACAAAAACUCUACAGUACACAGGUUCUCUAUCUUCCUAAGAAAAUUAUGUUCAAGAAUGAGGAAAGAUUUGGUCUCAUGAUAAUAUUGGAGUGCUUUUACUAUCAGUUAAUUGAAUGUAUGGAGCUGAGUGGCCUAUCCUAGUAAUAAAUUACUUUGUAUCUUUUGUUGUCAAUAAUUUAUGGAAGCACAUCAUCACUUUUAUCCCUUGAUUUUACUCAAACUAAACUUAUCUGAGCAUAUUUGUAACUUGUGUAGAUUUAACAGGACAUACAAGGUCAUUGGUAGGACAAGGUGUAAUGAAAACAGCAUGGGUCCUCCUUGCACAGGGUAAUAUAGAUUUGUCUGUCUUUUUCUGUUGAUAGUUCAUAAUACUAUAAUAAGUACAAUACAACUCUUUCCUUAGUUUAAAGUUCCCAUGAAUUGAUUCUCAAUAUGCAACUUAAUUAUCUAUUCACAUGGAAGAAAAGAAAGAGAACAUUGCUUAAUACAGGUUUGUAGAAAUGAUGGUUCCUCUUUUCUCCAGAGCAUCUUGGCAUUGUGCAUGGCGUAUGAUUCAGGUAUGUUAUCCAAAUUAGAAAGUUGAGGGUAAUACUAAUAGAAAACAUUAAGAGGCCGAGAAGAAUCCAAUAAACAAUCAUCAGUAUUUUAUUACUUAGUGGCUACAUUAUUAAUUUCAAUGGCUCAAAUAAAAGAUAAAACAGGGAUAGUCAGGAUGUUUGUAUAUUUCAAAAUUCUAAUAGCAAGGUUGGAGAUGUAUCAUUUCUUGUUUGAUUGAAUCAAUGCAGCUUAGGUCCUAAUAGCCAGUGGUAUGGUUCUGGUCCAACAUGAAUAAACUUCAGAAUUCUUUAAAAGCCCGUCUAAUGUGGCCGUAUUGUUUGACAAAGCUUAGCCAUUAAAUUUGUCUUUCUUCUCAUUCUUGGUUUUCCCUUGUAUUAGAGUAACCUGAUUUAUGGAUGGGGACUGGACUUUCAGCUUGGUUACUGUGCACAGGCAUUCUCUCUAUGCCUUCAAUCAUGUCUCUCCUCAUUUUUUUUUAACUUUAAGGAAAAAAGGUUCUUAUCCAGUCUUUUCAACAUGUUUCUUAUUAUGAAGCUUUAUUUGACGGGGUGAUCGAACCCAAAAUAUUGGAAUUGUUGAUGCUGAGUAUGUAAUUCACAAUGCUCUUCCUAUACUUGGAGGUUUGGCAGCAAACAAGGUAAGAAACUUUGUUAAUCAAAACUUUGUUAAAUAAGACCAACUUAUAAAAUGGCUUCUCAAUUUGAUUAAUCAACUGGAAGUGCUCCAAAGUUUAAUUUUUGGUCU